AAGCUUCCUUUAACCCAACCCGGCUCUAGUCCGAAGACUAGAAUUCCUCAGCGAAUAGUCUAUUACGCCAAGUCAAUCCGAAGUUCGAUUGCGGAUGCUAAUGCAUUACGAACGAGCUAGACCCUAAAGGCCAGCAGCGCUCAGAAACCAAACACCUCUUCAAUCAUUAAGAAAGAGGAGGGUUGAAGUAUUCAUGACACUCAAACAGGCAUGCUCCACGGAAUACCAUGGAGCGCAAGGUGCGUUCAAAGAUUCGAUGAUUCACUGAAUUCUGCAAUUCACAUUACUUAUCGCAUUUCGCUGCGUUCUUCAUCGAUGCGAGAGCCAAGAGAUCCGUUGUUGAAAGUUUUAUUUUGUUAUAAAAUUUAAUACAUUCAUAGACUUUGUGUUUAUAAGUGAAUAGGAGUUCGCCCUCUUGCGAGAGUUACUAUCCCAAACAAAUG
rnacentral:misc_RNA from 1 species